GAGGCGCUAGUUAACUAAUAACCCUGCCUUGUCAAGACAAAAUCAUAGGAUAAACCCCUAUGCGCCUUA
rnacentral:tRNA from 1 species